GUUUGACCCGUCUUGGGUUCUUAGAUACCACCCCUAAACCUGUGGGUCGUUAAUGAGUGUGCAUGAACUGCUUCUCAAAUAUGGUAUUUGGAGACUGCAGAAUGUCAUAUGAAGAGGAGAGGAUGAAUAACAAAUUGAAAAACUUAGGUGUUGGUCCAUGACUUUGCUACUGACAAAUUAUGCUUUAUGUCUGAAGGGUUGGAAAUGGUUGGUUUUGAAGGUUCCUUUAGGCUCUAAAUAU